rnacentral:misc_RNA from 1 species
CUCUCUCUCCCUCUCUCUCUCUGAGUUCUCUCUCUAGAUUGCCCCUUCUCUUUUUAACCCCCAAAUUCCAAACCCUAACCCUAAAAUUUCCCUAGAAGGAUACAGAAUUUCUCUCAUGAAAUUCCUGCCGCAAGCAAACGCUGGAUUCCCAAUCAAAUCUUCGUUUAAAACAAAUCGAAGCUUAAUUUGAUGAUAAUAAUCAAAUUAUCUUACUCUCUUAAACUCUAGCUAUCCUCUUUCUCCGUGUCUAUCUCGUCUUAGAAAUAUAUGGAGGGCUCUGUAGUGGAGGAUCUCGGAGCCCCUGAGUCAUGGGAGGUGGCCGAUUUGGACGAAACGAUGAGCCGUUUGAUGCUUCGGGAUUCGAAGCAAGAAUCCGAAAAACUCCCUCUAGAGCUCUCCGCCGAUGUUUCCAUUCAUUCGGGCUUGGCGUCGGGUUAUGGGUCUUCAGCUUCCGGUACCGGCAGUGGUGAGAAAGUGUCAAACGAUAUAAUUAAUCAGGUCGAUCAGUUCCUUCGUGAAGCCUUGCAGAACCCUCGUGAGCGGCUCUCCAUUCUGAGGAUGGAGCAAGAUGUUGAAAAGUUCAUUUGUGAUCCUACACAACAGCAAUUAGAAUUUCAUCAGUUGCCCACUUCAUAUUUACGGUUGGC